rnacentral:rRNA from 1 species
GUGACAGCCGCCGCGGUAAUACAGAGGGUGCGAGCGUUGUCCGGAAUUAUUGGGCGUAAAGAGCUUGUAGGCGGUUUGUCGCGUCUGCCGUGAAAGUCCGAGGCUCAACCUCGGACUUGCGGUGGGUACGGGCAGACUAGAGUGUGGUAGGGGAGACUGGAAUUCCUGGUGUAGCGGUGAAAUGCGCAGAUAUCAGGAGGAACACCGAUGGCGAAGGCAGGUCUCUGGGCCACUACUGACGCUGAGAAGCGAAAGCGUGGGGAGCGAACAGGAUUAGAUACCCUCGUAGUCC